UACGUAUGGAGCAAGCGUUAUCCGGAUUUACUGGGUGUAAAGGGUGCGUAGGUGGCAAUGCAAGUCAGAUGUGAAAGGCCGGGGCUCAACCCCGGAGCUGCAUUUGAAACUGCAUAGCUAGAGUACAGGAGAGGCAGGCGGAAUUCCUAGUGUAGCGGUGAAAUGCGUAGAUAUUAGGAGGAACACCAGUGGCGAAGGCGGCCUGCUGGACUGUUACUGACACUGAGGCACGAAAGCGUGGGGAGCAAACAGG
rnacentral:rRNA from 1 species